AAAGUCGUAACAAGGUUUCCGUAGGUGAACCUGCGGAAGGAUCAUUAUUGUAACUGGCGGAGCGCGAUUAGGCCCUGCUCGAGGAGACUCUGAGCGGGCCUUGUCGGUGCCCUUCGCUUUGUCCUUCACACACCCUGUGCACCUUUCUUCGCGGAGGGUUAGCGGUGGAUAACGCUGCGAGCCCCCGUGGAUACAAACUCUAAUCGUGACCCUGUAUGUCGUUUCUAAUCGAAACAUUUUGUAACAACUUUCAACAACGGAUCUCUUGGCUCUC
rnacentral:misc_RNA from 1 species